AAAAUUGAUUGUCCAUAAACUCGGUGCAUGGAUUCUCCUACUGCUCAAUUUUUUUAUUUAUCGUUUCCUGGACCACAGUUGACAUAUCUGUCUCCGUGUCAUCAGAGGAGGACAAACGCUAUGUUUUCCCUCAGGUAUGACACACUUUAGAACAUAUUGUACAUAAACAAACGGAACAUUGGUACAAAUAGCCUACUUACCAGACUCUCUGCCUGGCAUAGACAUGGACACAUACAGGCAUACUGUAUAAGUAUUCUGCACCAUCUCUCUACAGGACUGGUGGCGUGUCUUUGUGGUAAUGAUGGCAUUAGGGCUGACGGUGCUGGAGGUAUACAGGGAGGUGAUGUAGAUUCUACGCUCUGUUAGAAAGCUAAAAGAUUGGCAGCCGUGGUGUGAUCAGAGACUCAAUGAGGAUCUGGCUUGCACACAUCCCAUGUGGCCAGAGGAACGUCACUACAUCAAGGGUCAGAUUAAGUUCAUCUGGAACAUGAAGGGAAGCUACUCGCAGGACCCCUGGAAUAUAUUUGAUUGGCUUGUGUAUGCAUUGCUGAUAGCAGUUUUGGGUCUUCACUUGGCUGAUGUUUACCUGGUCUGUCAGACACUCCGAAUGUAUAGCCUCCGCAUCUUCGCUGUGGCCGUCAUCUUCCUCUGGCUCAGGCUGAUGAAGCAUGUCAGAGCAUUUAGGUAAUAGGUAUCACCUUUAUGUGCUUGCCUUAAUUUCUGUAAUUGACAUUAAAAAUCAUUAAAAAUGUUGCUACUACUACUACUAAUAAUUUAUAUUCAAGAGAUUAUGGCCAGAUAAUUUUGAAUUGGAGGAAUAAAAAUUGACUUUGUAAAGAUAAAGAUGAUUCGUUUCCCUCUUACAUGACAUACAUUUCUAAUUAGCAUUGACACCUGUGUACAUACAGUAAAAUGUCUCCAGAAAGUAUUCAACAGAUAAUUGAUAAGUAUUGAAUGCUUAUCAAUUGAUAGACGAUUAAUAAGAAUUCACCCCUCCCCCUCACCUUUCUUUCAGCAAU